UGGGGGGAUGCUAGCUACUAUGUCAUGAGGACACUCAAGCAACCCUAUGAAGAGGUCCACGUGGUUAAGAACUGAGACUUCCUGCCAACAACCAUGUUAAGCCUCUCACUAAGAUGGAGUCCUGGAGUAACUUGACAUAUAUCAAGCACCAAGUUUCAAAGAGAACCAGGACAUUGUCAUGAAGGCUUCUGACAAGAAUAGAAAACUAGCACUAAAGGAGAUGAAAUAAACACUAGUAUGGGAUAACAAUUUGUGGG
rnacentral:lncRNA from 1 species